AGUGUACAAAUCCUACCGUUACACCCCCACGCCAGUAGGGGAAGACAGUGCCUCUGCUCUCAGGUGACCGAUUCAAGUCCUGUCAUGACUUCCGUUUACAACACCGGUACACACACCUGGCUAACAGGACAGACAAAAGAUCCGUUCGCUUGGUCCCAAAUUCGAACUGAAAUACUGCCAUUGACUAAAACCUAUGCUGAAUACACUUCACCGACGGUGUUAUAACGCAAGGUAGGACGAAGAUACCAAGAAAGACAUUGUCGGCUGUCAACAGUAAAGACUUUCCUCCGCUCAAGACUGCUAGCCCGUAUGCUAACGCGGGAAACAAGUUAGCUUUCCACAGCUAGCUAAGCUGCUAGCCCUAGUAUGGAGGAUACAUAAAAGUUGGCCACAGAGACUGAACCUUCCCUCGGUGAUGUUUUAACCACCAUAAGGAACCUGGACAACAAGAUGAAUCCAUUCCACAAGCAAGAAAGCAUUUCAGGACAGAGUCCAUGAGGACCUCGCAUUACGCGCAUGGCACAGUGGAUGGACACAUUUGAGGAAAAGAUGGAUGAGCUGCUCAUGCUCUUAUGGAGCUGCCAGUCACCUCCCUCUGCUCUAGUCGAUGACGUGUUGCUGUCGCCCUGCUCAACAGUCAUCGAGCUGCAAGGGGUUUAACAGGAGUCUCGGUCAACAGGAGAGGAGGAACAAAAUGCAACUUUUUCUGACAACCUUUCAACCAAUGACGUUGUAAAACCGUAUAGCCUGCAGGGCAGAAAGACAAAGGCCUUCCAGGACCUGACAAUCUGCAGGGUUAUAACAG